CAUAAAUUGAGGACUACCUAUAUUAUAAUGAAUGUCAAGAUAAUGCGGAAUAGCCUUAUUUUCUGUAUUUUUUUUCUUGUAAAAAACAUAAUGCGCUCUCUCUCUCUCUCUCAUGACGCUUUAAAAAUACUGAUGUUUACAGAACAGUCUGUUUCUUCCUGUGCUCCAGUCUAGUAACCCUUUUUAAUGCGAUUUAUCAAGGCGUUAGAUUAAAAGAGCUCUUUAAGAGUUAGAUCAAAAACGCCAAGGAAGCAAUUUAGGUGCACAGCAAAUUCGAAAGGAUUUCCAUUCAAGUCUUAAGAAUCGGACCUUAACUUUGCGGCGUCAUUCCAAGUUUUGUAAGUCAAUUUGAUGAAGGAGAAAAUUUACCGAACUUUUCAGAACCUUUAUAUCCAACAAAAUAUCAGCCUUUCUGUCUUUCCAUUGGAGGAACUGGAGAGAGCUUUGGGUGUCCAACGACUAUUUUGCAUACCUCAUAAAAUCCGAAGCAAAUCGGGAAUGUGGGAAUUAUAUGGCGGAUGCACACGUACACUAGCGGUGCCUUCCCCUCCCGACUUCUCCCCUUGCAGAAGUCCUGGAAUCCCGGCGGUUCUUUUAUAAGAUCCUUCCAUUUGGCUUAAUCAUAAACGCCACAAUAGACAGUCUUUGGAGUUUUAACGAUGUUUGCUUUGAUUUGGAGGAGAGGAGGAGAGGGCAUUAUGUGUUUUAGGCCGCUGCAUCAAAAAAGAGCUUGCCAUUCUUUAAUUUUCCUAAGCUUUACAAAACAGGUAGAUAUAUUAUCUGGAGAAAUCUCUCUCAUCCUCGAUCUCUCUCUCUACCUGUCGCAUGUCUGCUUGUCGAACACGCAAGAGAAAAUCUGCGAGAAGAAAAGAGGGUCUUCCUGCUUCAGCAUUCUUUGUACUUGCGGUGGAAGGGCGGUGGGUCUAGCCAUGAUGAUGAUAAUUCUAAUAACUGCAAGGAAAGUUAGCUUGUAGCUAAGCCGGCUUUUCCUUCCUGGUGGAGUCUCAUCCCAUUCUCAGUCCCCCUUUAUCGACCGGACGCACAGAUGAGCGAAGAGGCUACACUCGAGAUCCGGAAGUCUUCGGCGAAAGCCGUUGCGACCGUAGCCUUUUGGGGUUUGCCACUCUCCUCCCAAUGCGCAAGCGCGGCCCGAAAGGGUAGGGCAGGCCGGGAGUGCGGAGCUUUUGGUUGCGGCGGCGACGGCGGCGGGUUGGAAGCUGGCACCGCUCGAGCGCCCUUCAUGGCUGCUCAGCCUUCGCCUUCCGUGCCGCUCACUCGGCGGCCCCUGUUGCUCGGCCAGGUGGAGGGCUCGCAAGACGCGGUGACCAUGGCGGCCAUCGUGCCCAAGGAAGAGGGGCUCAUCAGCGUCUCGGAGGACAGAACGGUUCGGGUCUGGAUGAAGAGAGAUAAUGGUCAAUACUGGCCAAGCAUCUACCAUACAAUGCCAUCCCCUUGUUCCUGCAUGUGUGUUAACCCGGAAACAAGAAGAGUAUCUGUUGGUCUUGACAAUGGUACAGUCUCAGAAUUUAUUUUAUCAGAAGAUUACAACAAGAUGACAGCAGUUAAAAGUUACCAGGCUCACCAGAGCAAAGUGCUGAUGGUCCUUUUUGUUUUGGAAAUGGAGUGGCUCCUAAGUAUUGGGCAGGAUAAAUACUUUACUUGGCAUUGCUCUGAAAGUGGUCAACGACUUGGCAGUUACCGGAUUAGUGCAGGCGCUUGUGGGUUACAAUUUGAUGUGGAGACUCGGAAUGUUUUUAUUGGUGAUCAUUCUGGGCAAGUGACCAUCCUUAAACUAGAACAAGAAAAUAGCAGCCUCAUAACAACUUUCAGAGGACAUACAGGUGGAAUCAGUGCCCUGUGUUGGGACCCUGUUCAACGUGUCCUAUUUUCAGGCAGUUCUGAUCAUUCUAUCAUUAUGUGGGACAUUGGAGGAAGAAAAGGAACAGCUAUUGAACUCCAAGGACACAGUGAUAAAGUUCAGUCCCUCUCUUAUUCCCAUCACACUCGGCAACUCAUCUCUUGUGGGGCGGAUGGCAGGAUCGUUGUCUGGAAUAUGGAUGUUGAGAGGCAAGAGGUAUCCAGUCAGUUCUUCCUCUUUCUCUGAUCAGGGAAGUUAUCACUUACGUAAUCUUCAAAAGAUGCAUCAAAAAGCCAUUUAAGCCAAAGACACCAGAAUGGUUGGAAAGUGACUCUUGCCAGAAAUGUGACCAGCCAUUCUUCUGGAACUUCAAACAGAUGUGGGAUAGCAAGAAAAUAGGCCUUAGACAGCAUCAUUGCCGAAAGUGUGGAAAAGCAGUGUGUGGU